UUGGUACUCCCUCCGUCCGGAAAUACGUAUCAUCAAACUGGAUAAAAGGAGAUGUAUCUAGACGUAUUUUAGUUCUAGAUACAUAUCUUUUUAUCCAUUUUGAUGACAAGUAUUUUCGGGCGGAGGGAGUAAUAA
rfam:Triticum aestivum genome assembly, contig: Triticum_aestivum_CS42_TGACv1_scaffold_220762_3B